rnacentral:rRNA from 1 species
AUUGAACGCUGGCGGCAGGCUUAACGCAUGCAAGUCGAGCGGGGUGAAGUGCUUCGGUACUGAUCCUAGCGGCGGACGGGUGAGUAACGCUUAGGAAUCUGCCAUUUAGUGGGGGACAACAUUCCGAAAGGAAUGCUAAUACCGCAUACGUCCUACGGGAGAAAGCAGGGGAUCUUCGGACCUUGCGCUAAAUGAUGAGCCUAAGUCGGAUUAGCUAGUUGGUGGGGUAAAGGCCUACCAAGGCGACGAUCUGUAGCGGGUCUGAGAGGAUGAUCCGCCACACUGGGACUGAGACACGGCCCAGACUCCUACGGGAGGCAGCAGUGGGGAAUAUUGGACAAUGGGCGGAAGCCUGAUCCAGCCAUGCCGCGUGUGUGAAGAAGGCCUUUUGGUUGUAAAGCACUUUAAGCGAGGAGGAGGCUACCUGGAUUAAUACUCUGGGAUAGUGGACGUUACUCGCAGAAUAAGCACCGGCUAACUCUGUGCCAGCCGCCGCGGUAACAC